CGCUGGCGGCAGGCCUAACACCUGCAAGUCGAGCGGUAGCACAGAGAGCUUGCUCUCGGGUGACGAGCGGCGGACGGGUGAGUAAUGUCUGGGAAACUGCCUGAUGGAGGGGGAUAACUACUGGAAACGGUAGCUAAUACCGCAUAACGUCGCAGGACCAAAGUGGGGGACCUUCGGGCCUCAUGCCAUCAGAUGUGCCCAGAUGGGAUUAGCUAGUAGGUGGGGUAACGGCUCACCUAGGCGACGAUCCCUAGCUGGUCUGAGAGGAUGACCAGCCACACUGGAACUGAGACACGGUCCAGACUCCUACGGGAGGCAGCAGUGGGGAAUAUUGCACAAUGGGCGCAAGCCUGAUGCAGCCAUGCCGCGUGUAUGAAGAAGGCCUUCGGGUUGUAAAGUACUUUCAGCGGGGAGGAAGGCGAUAAGGUUAAUAACCUUGUCGAUUGACGUUACCCGCAGAAGAAGCACCGGCUAACUCCGUGCCAGCAGCCGCGGUAAUACGGAGGGUGCAAGCGUUAAUCGGAAUUACUGGGCGUAAAAGCGCACGCAGGCGGUCUGUCAAGUCGGAUGUGAAAUCCCCGGGCUCAACCUGGGAACUGCAUUCAAACUGGCAGGCUAGAGUCUUGUAGAGGGGGUAGAAUUC
rnacentral:rRNA from 1 species